CCUUGUACACACCGCCCGUCAAGUCAUGGGAGCGGGGAGUACCCGAAGUCCGCUUAGCUAACCGUAAGGAUGCGGCGGCCGACGGUAAGCUCCGUGACUGGGACU
rnacentral:rRNA from 1 species